rnacentral:rRNA from 1 species
UACGUAGGGUGCAAGCGUUAAUCGGAAUUACUGGGCGUAAAGCGUGCGCAGGCGGCUAUGCAAGACAGAUGUGAAAUCCCCGGGCUCAACCUGGGAACUGCAUUUGUGACUGCACGGCUAGAGUGUGUCAGAGGGGGGUAGAAUUCCACGUGUAGCAGUGAAAUGCGUAGAUAUGUGGAGGAAUACCGAUGGCGAAGGCAGCCCCCUGGGAUAACACUGACGCUCAUGCACGAAAGCGUGGGGAGCGAACAGG